GUACUCGAGCGGCGAACGGGUGAGUAACACGUGAGUAACCUGCCCCAGGCUUUGGGAUAACCCCGGGAAACCGGGGCUAAUACCGGAUAUGACCAUCUGUCGCAUGGUGGGUGGUGGAAAGAUUUUUUGGCUUGGGAUGGGCUCGCGGCCUAUCAGCUUGUUGGUGGGGUGAUGGCCUACCAAGGCGGCGACGGGUAGCCGGCCUGAGAGGGCGACCGGCCACACUGGGACUGAGACACGGCCCAGACUCCUACGGGAGGCAGCAGUGGGGAAUCUUGCACAAUGGGCGGAAGCCUGAUGCAGCGACGCCGCGUGAGGGAUGACGGCCUUCGGGUUGUAAACCUCUUUCAGCAGGGACGAAGCGUUUGUGACGGUACCUGCAGAAGAAGCGCCGGCCAACUACGUGCCAGCAGCCGCGGUAAGACGUAGGGCGCAAGCGUUGUCCGGAUUUAUUGGGCGUAAAGAGCUCGUAGGCGGCUUGUCGCGUCGACUGUGAAAACCCGUGGCUCAACUGCGGGCUUGCAGUCGAUACGGGCAGGCUAGAGUUCGGUAGGGGAGACUGGAAUUCCUGGUGUAGCGGUGAAAUGCGCAGAUAUCAGGAGGAACACC
rnacentral:rRNA from 1 species